GCCAGCUGUGCUCUGUAAUCACAACGGUGACAGCACACAGCAAGCCAGCUCUGAGUGAGACUGUGGUGGUGCACAAACAGGAGCUUCUCCUGGCUCAGAGCUUCACUGGAGAAAGCCAGUCCCUUGCUUUCCUAGAUCGGAGAGGCCUGGCUCAAUUCCAGAGAGAUUAAAGGCUUCUUGCACCGUGGAACAGAGGUGUUACCUGCGUGCAACCCUCACUGACUGCCAAGUGUUGGGAAACCUGUGACUUCAGAACUGGUACGAAAAGGCCACUGAGCUGCUAAAAUCCCACAGCAUCCGAGCCUCAGCAGCCAGAUUGCUCCCUGCACCUCCUUCCCCUGCCACAACAAAAAGUGAGCAGCCCCGAAGCCGAUGCUUGCAACUGCGGAGCAGUUGAAAUUGCACAGGGCCUACUUCCAAGCCUGUCAUUGUGCAAGUCUGGGAAAGGCACCAAUUCUUCCCAUGUCCCCGACCCGCCCCCCAGGUGAAACAAAACACCCACCAAGCAGCAGGCUGGCUUGUCUGAAGGAAUUAAUAGCUAUCAAAUGAUUUCGGUUCCACAUGGUCUGUCAAAGCCAUUAUUGGGAGUUUGACACUGGUUAUCACCCGUUCCUCCAGAAAGAAAGGGUAAAGAGAGGCAACACCAGGCAACUGCAGCAUGACCUAGCCUCGGAGAAGGAUUUGACAUCGUGCAGAUAUUUAACAGCAACAUUUAUCCAGCAGGACUGACGUUCACUAGACUGGAACCAGGCAAUCUGGUGUCUCGUAGUCGCCCUCUUAGCUCCUAAGGCUCAGAGCCCCGAAAGAUUUAAGCAUCUAAAAAAUGUCAGCUGCCUGAAACCUAACUACCUUUGAAGAGCAGGGCCUCAGGGUAAGCCUGCUAACCAGCAGAGCCCAACCUUAUGCCACGGGGAACGCCAGCCCUGAUGUCUCACCUGAUACCUGGGGGGAAGCAGCCGAGGAUCCGGAGCCCACCUGGUUAAUGAAAGCAGCAUAGUAUCUUGCUCCUUAAUAGGGAGGUGUAAUCAAUGUUAAUCUUUUGGGUGUGCUACUAAAUACCCAAAGGGGAUGUUUGUUUUGCAAUUUCCCUCUUCCCUAAUGGCAGCUUUUCCCUGCCCUGCACAAUCAGUCACCCUGCAGUUCACAGCUAUAAAUAUUUUUGCUUGCUUGAUAGCUGCAGUCUGUCAGUGUCUUCCAGCUUGAGCUUCACCUCAUCCAUUAUCCAGGGCUGCCUUGUGACAGAGCUCCCGAGCUGACCUUCUCCUGUUACGGUGCGCGGGCUGUUGGCAUUGUGCAGGCUUCCCUCCACGCUCUGGAUGCCAAGCUGAUCCACACCAGGCACCUGAGGAAGCAGCAUCAAAGGAGAGCAAGCUCCUGCCUUGGGCAACUCGGAGGAGAUGCGAGCUGUUUGCCUGAACCACCGAGACAGCAGAGAUGUCCAUCUCGGAGGAAGAUGGAUGAGACAAGGAGACAGGGCAGGCUGAGGAGGGGCACAGAGCAGGAAAAGGACAGGGGGGUGGUCAUGAGAAGGGAGGGCAGAAGCAUGGGGUGGGGGAGAAGUGAAGCAACACAAGCAGUGGGGGAGAGGCGUGGUGUCUAGGGAGGAAUAGGUUUGAAAUAAAGGAGCAGGGUGCCUGACGGUGGGCAUGGCUUAAGGUCAGGGACGAAGGCUAGCUGAGGUGAGGAGACAGCGUACGUGGAAGAGUGGAGAUUAAAUGGAAUAAGAUGAACACAGCUGUGGGUAUGGAUGGAGAAAUCUAACUGCAGAUACACUGACUUCCAGCUAUGGAAGCAGUUUUGGAGUUGCUAUAUGGUGGACUUAGCAAGGGCCCAAAAAAAUCCAACCCCCUUGAUUGGGGGCUCAAGAAAUGUCUUAACGUGAUGUCUGUGACUGCAGAGGAUUAAUCCUCAUCACACAGAGAUUCUUCUCAGGCAUAAAGCUUGGGAGGCUCGGGGAUAGCUGGCGAGUAAGCAGCAGAAGAAGAUAGUGUUAGGAUUUAUGGGGAGAAAGGAGCAGAAAGGGUCUGCAGAGAAUAAGAAUGGAUUAAAGGAAGAGGACUUUUGUGCUAGCAUUGUUCCUGGCUUCUUGGGCAGCUGUGUGCAAGUGCCCUAGAUGAAGCUGGCUUUGCUGCAGGCUUUCCAGCUAAUGUCAUUUUAAUUUCUGACAUGUCACUAAUGGAGAAAUAUUUAACAUGUAUUUAUUCAACAUCACUAAAAAUACCCCGGCAGUCAUGGGGGAAGGAGGAUAGGGCUGAUCAAUGGGGGGAGGCGGGGAGAGGACUCUUCUGUAGGGACUCGGAUGUGGUGCUUGCAAAUGGGGUUUGGAAAGCAUCUCUCCCAGAAACCUUUGCCGUGAAAACCUGCUGUCAAACGUCACACCGGAUCGGGGAGGGAAGUAGCUCUGUACCUGGCAGAUUCUCAUUAGGAACAAAUACUGUUUCCCUGGUAAUGAAGGAAAGGCUUAAUCCAUUUUCAUUCCAGGUGUGUUCAGUAUGCUCAGCGGGGUGAGUCCCUUCGCCACUGUUAAUGCUCGCUGUGUUCGCAGCGAGAGGUCACCCGGCAGGUCUCGGUGUGUUUCACCACGUCUGCAGGAAGCAGGGGGCAGUGGGUCAGCUUGGAGACAGCUGGGGAUGUCACGCUCUUCCCCCUUCUCCGGCGUGGUGCAAAGCCACGUUACUGGCUCCUGUCUCAUGCUCCUCCCUCAUCUCUGCACGGGGAGCCUUAGACCUACGAGGAGGGGUGGCUGCAUCUCGCCCCAUGUCUGGGCAGUGCUGGGAAGAGGAUUUAAUCCUUCCCGGGCCAGCAGUGACCGUGAGGUCCUGACUCCUCCAGCCACUGACUGGACUUUUGGUCAGUAAAUCACAAUCCUCAACAGAGCUGCCUGCAGUGUGCAGCUCUGUCCCUGGGCUUGCUCAUUAGAGAUGGGCUCGCAUGAAACGCUAAGACUCGAGCCUCCAUAAGCACCAACGGAGUUCGGAUCCAGAUGAGACAGUGCUUGGAUGCUUCGGUGAUUGGCACCUUAGAAAUUACACAGAUAGACGGAGCACUCUGGAAAUUGAUGGGACUUUGCAGCUUUGGCUCUUCUCUGCUAGUUAUAAUUAUUUAAGAUGAAGUUUCACAUCGCAUUCAAACUCCUGUGCAGAUAGCAGCGGCAGAGAACAAGGGAUCUCAGCCACCUAGGAGAGGAUUAUGUGGAUAUGACAACGUUCAAACCCACUGGGCUCUGCCACGCUGCAUUAUUUAAGCCCAGGAACCAAAUUUAGUAACCAGCCCCUGAGGCACUGAGCGAAAAACAGCUUCCAGAGCUCCCUUCCCUCACAGCCCUCUUGGCUUCCUCCCUUAAAGGAGCCAUCCUUCAAGGCUUUUUCCUCCCUCUUCCCAGCUCUGUCCCUCUUCCCUCUGUCCCAGCUCUGGGCCUUCGGGAUGCAGGGCACGGUGGCUGCAGCUGUACAGGGAAGCACGAGCCCGGGUGCUGAGGGCGUUAGCGCUGCCCACUCUGCCCACACCACGAGAAGCGUUCCAGGCUCUCACCUUCCUGGGAGCUUGGCAGCUCCAGCAUGUGCCUGCUGGUAAAGUAUGUGGGGAGAAGCACUUCUGGACACACCGACAGGCUCGGGCUUGUGCCUGGCUAAGCUCGCUCCUCGCCUGUGCUUGGUGACCAGGCGCCAAGCCACAGCAGGCCCUCACCUCCCUGGUAGGACAGGAGCGCCCACGUCCCCGUACGUGACCCAGCUCCCCAAAUCUGUGGGAAGGAGAGGUGGGACGAGGCGAAUAUUUAACCAGCACCGUGUCAAGUGCAAACACACGUCCGCCGUGCUGCUUGAUCAUCGUGGGGCAUUGAUCUCCUACAGGCGUUCGAGGCAGCGUUACUCCCCGUGGAUUCUGGCAGGGCUGGCUCGGGACAGCCAGCGCUUCCCUCAGAGGUCAUUGCAGUAAAAGCCAAGCUGGGCCUCAGGGAGCCACAAAAUAGCGCUGAGACCUGCCGGUGCUGCAGGUGACUCCCGACACCGCGGUUAUUAACUGCAAGGCGUGCCCUCUCCCGGGCGGCGAUCGGACGCCACAGCCUCUUAAAACUGUCUGCCGCCGUCGUCUCUUAGAUCCCUCCCUGGCCUCCAGCCCAAUGCCCUGGAGGCAGCGAGAUGGAGCUUGCUGUUUACAAACACAGCCUUUUAAAACCUUGUGCGGAAUGAGAAAAAGGAGCAAACCCCGCUGAAGUGCCCUGGGAGGAGCAGAUCUAAUCACAGCGCGCUGGAACAUCUUCCCCAGCCUCUCCUGGCCUGGGCGAGCCACGGCUGAGCUGCCGGGGUGAGGAGCAGUGGCCGGCGAAGGCAAAUGGUGAAGGAAAGAGAGGCUUUGGGGCUGCGUGGAUGUAGCAGCCAGCCCACAGGAUGGUGCCGGCAAGCGGGCGAAGCUCAGCAUGAGCCAACCUCAUCCCGUCAGCUCUCGCCUCAUCUGCACAGGCCAAGGGGCCGAGGGGCUGUGCCUGCGAGGACAGCGGCAGCAGCUUGGGUCCCUGGGGAGCCGUCCUCAUCCCACACGGCUCCCCCGGGGCGCUGCCAGCUGCUGGGCGUGCCGCCCCAGCACGGGGGAUGUUCUGUGAAGGCCCUUUACUAGAAUCCUUCCUGAGGUCUCGUCUCCAGGGGGGGGAAAUUCCCCAGCCCCGCUGUUGUGGGAUACGCUAUUCUGCAAGAACUUUUAAAAUAGCUGCCCGUGGGGACGUGGCAGGCUGGAAAAAGAAACAAAAAACACUCAUUUUAUUCUGCUGUGAUCACUCCGUUUUGUGAGCCGGGCCCUUUGCCCUCCCUCCCUCCCUUCCACUGGAAAUUGGCGCUUUGCAGGCGAGGGUUUGAGGGCCGUGGUGGCCUGGCUGUGCGGGCUGCAGCCCUCUCCUCGCUGCUUCCAGUCGAGCACUGCGCCGUGCAGACGUGCAGAGCUCGCGUGUGUCUCUCUCUUGGGAUGGGACGCGGCUCCUCAGCCCUCCCGAGGGAGCUGCGUGGAAGCCAAGCUGUGAAAGCACAAACUUUUGCCUGCUGGGAGCACGGCAAAGCCUGGCAGGCACGCGCAGCAGCACCGAGAGCACCUCGCAGGAAGGGCAAGGCGUGAGGCUGUUGGUGUGAAGCUGGCUUGCCUUGGGGCUAGCAGCCUGCUGGCCACCAGGAGCAGGCUCAGGAGAGACACCACAAGCAGGGGCUGAGCUCUGCCCUGAAUCCCCUGCCCCACGAGGCAGGUGCUGCUGGUGCGAAACCUUUCCCAUCAGAUGAGCACCGGGCCGAAGCCGUGGCUCAUCAGUGGAUUCUCUCCCCUGCAGCUCUCAUUUCUGAGAGAUGAUGAUGUAUUUCUUUUUGUUUCUUUUUUUCCGGGCAGUCAAGAACUAACCUCCGGGAUCCGGCUGCUUACGAGGCACGGAGAGAGUUUCUAAAAGACGGUGAUAAAGAGUACGUGGGUGCCGGGGGAGGAGGAAGGCGGGGAGGGGGAGAGGAGGGAUACGUAUGUCACAGCUUACCUCAGAGCCAGAAUUAGAAGCCGGGUUUAAAAAAAAAUAAAAUAAAAUCACAGCAGGAAAUAAUGUGUGGCUUAAAAUAGCAACAUCAAAUGGGAGCGAGAAUGGGGAGUGGGUGGCAUUUGAGGUUGCUGCUCUGUUCCUCCCUCAAUGGCAGGGUGAUUAAUAUGUCUACGCUCCUUGUGUUUAUGUAACAAAGGGCACCAAAGGCCAGAGCUGCAUUUUCACUAGCACUGCAGGGGAGUCUGUGAAUCUGUUCUUCCACCCGUAGCAUCAAGUGGGAGGCUCUGCACUUGCACUUCCUGCCCCAGAAACAAACAGAAAAAAACUCAUCCACGCCGCAGCGGGGCACACGCAGUCACGUUUCCGUGGCUGGGCAGGGUGCAGCGGAGACCCUUCGAGGCUUUGAAGGUUCGCCCGCCCCUCGCUGCUCCCCACAGCCCACAGAGAAAGGUGGGAGGGUGUGUGAAGAGAGCCCAGGGGUGCAGGAGGCUCAACCCACUUGGGACACAGGCACCUGCCAAAAUACCUGCUCGGAGGCGCACAGCAUGAGGGCAGAUCUGCCGCAUGCUAAAAACCUGCUGCCCAGAGCUGAUUCUCUGACUCUCUGACACCAGUGAGUGUCCGGGACGUCGGUCGGGGCGUGCUGCUGUCGGGGUUAGGGGAAUCGGGCCCAGCUGUGAGGCCGCUCUCCCCGCAGGCAGGCAGGCAGGCAGGCAGGGCGGCACGCGGUGUUUGAACACAGCUCGCUGGUGGCUGCAGGCAGGGAGCGCUCCCAGCCACUCCACCAACGUGCACGAUAUCCUGCCAGUCAGCUCCAGCCGUGGUAAAUAUCUCCACCGUGCUUUCCCUCCAAGCAAACAGAGUACCUGCGUGGAAGAAAUUCCUCAAGACGCUUCCUGUCUGGAGCCCAAGCUUGCCAGGGACCGAAUUUCCUGUGAGGCUGGAGCUGGGAAUGCAAAGCAAAGAAGCGAACAAGAAAAUGCGGUGAUACACACUUGGACCCGCUCUACAAAGAUCCUCCUCAGCAAGCACGUUUCCCCCCUGUUCAAAUAAAAAGAAAGCAGCCGGAUUUCCAAAUAACGGCGGGGCUAUUUUUCUUUAGUAAUCCUUAUUUUUACCCCACUGCUCCUCUUUCUGCCUGUUUUUCUUUUUCUUUUUUUUCCAGCUGCGAUUCUGUGCCUUACACAUCCUGAAAAUGAAAGG